AGCUUUUUGUAUCCGUGCUUAGAUUUCGUCAUACACCAGAUCACAAAGUUGAUAAGACUCCCCAGAUAUGUUUAACA
rnacentral:pre_miRNA from 1 species